CCUACGGGGGGCUGCAGUCGAGAAUCUUCGGCAAUGGGCGCAAGCCCGACCGAGCGACGCCGCGUGCGGGAUGAAGGCCCUCGGGUUGUAAACCGCUGUCGGAGGGGAGGAAGUCCAUGGGGGUUCUCCUUCAUGGUUGACCUAUCCUCGGAGGAAGGACGGGCUAAGUUCGUGCCAGCAGCCGCGGUAAGACGAACCGUCCAAACGUUAUUCGGAAUGACUGGGCUUAAAGGGUGCGUAGGCGGCCUUGCAAGUUGGGUGUGAAAGCCCUCGGCUCAACCGAGGAACUGCGCUCAAAACUGCUUGGCUCGAGGGAGAUAGAGGUGAGCGGAACUUGCGGUGGAGCGGUGAAAUGCGUUGAUAUCGCAAGGAACACCAGUUGCGAAAGCGGCUCACUGGGUCUUUUCUGACGCUGAAGCACGAAAGCUAGGGUAGCGAACGGGAUUAGAUACCCCAGUAGUC
rnacentral:rRNA from 1 species